UUCGAAAGUCUCAGAAUCCAAAGAUAACGAAUUUUCUAAACAAAUUCACCACCAAAACCACCCAUUAAAAAUGUCUCCCUGCUCCUGCAACUGCUGCUCCGGCGACUGCAACUCCUGCAGCUGCAAAAGCUGCUCUGUAAGUUGGACAUGACG
rnacentral:sRNA from 15 species